GCCGGGCGUGGUGGCUCAUGCCUGUAAUCCCAGAACUUUGGGAGGCUGAGGUGGGUGGAUCACCUGAGGUCAGGAGUUCAAGACCAGCCUGGCCAACAUGGUGAAACCCCGUCUUUA
ensembl:misc_RNA Metazoa_SRP Metazoan signal recognition particle RNA